CGCCCGCUUGGGCAGGGCCUCGUCGACCACGGCCUGGCCGGCCGGCGUGAGGCGGGCGUUGGUCAGCCGGUUGUCGUUCGGAUCCACGGCGCGCGC
rnacentral:tRNA from 1 species